rnacentral:rRNA from 1 species
UACGUAGGGUGCAAGCGUUAAUCGGAAUACUGGGCGUAAAGCGUGCGCAGGCGGUUUGGUAAGACAGAUGUGAAAUCCCCGGGCUCAACCUGGGAAUUGCAUUUGUGACUGCCCGACUAGAGUGUGUCAGAGGGGGGUAGAAUUCCACGUGUAGCAGUGAAAUGCGUAGAGAUGUGGAGGAAUACCGAUGGCGAAGGCAGCCCCCUGGGAUAACACUGACGCUCAUGCACGAAAGGCGUGGGGAGCAAACAGG